GAUGAACGCUGGCGGCGUGCCUAACACAUGCAAGUCGAACGAAGCACUUUAACUUGAUUCUUCGGAUGAAGGUUAUUGUGACUGAGUGGCGGCCGGGUGAGUAACGCGUGGGUAACCUACCUCAUACAGGGGGAUAACAGUUAGAAAUGACUGCUAAUACCGCAUAAGACCACAGGGUCGCACGACCCGGUGGGAAAAACUCUGGUGGUAUGAGAUGGACCCGCGUCUGAUUCGGUAGUUGGUGGGGGCACGGCCUACCAAGCCGACGAUCGGUGGGCGAACUGAGAGGGUGACCGGCCACAUUGGGACUGAGACACGGCGCAAGCUCCUGCGGGAGGCAGCGGUGGGGAAUAUUGCACAAUGGGGGAAACCCUGAUGCAGCGACGCCGCGUGAGCGAAGAAGUAUUUCGGUAUGUAAAGCUCUAUCAGCAGGGAAGAAAAUGACGGUACCUGACUAAGAAGCACCGGCUAAAUACGUGCCAGCCGCCGCCGUAA
rnacentral:rRNA from 1 species